rnacentral:rRNA from 1 species
GGGGAAUUUUGGACAAUGGGGGCAACCCUGAUCCAGCCAUCCCGCGUGUGCGAUGAAGGCCUUCGGGUUGUAAAGCACUUUUGGCAGGGAAGAAAAGGCGCCGGCUAACACCGGGCGCCGCUGACGGUACCUGCAGAAUAAGCACCGGCUAACUACGUGCCAGCAGCCGCGGUAAUACGUAGGGUGCAAGCGUUAAUCGGAAUUACUGGGCGUAAAGCGUGCGCAGGCGGUUCGGAAAGAAAGAUGUGAAAUCCCAGGGCUUAACCUUGGAACUGCAUUUUUAACUGCCGGGCUAGAGUAUGUCAGAGGGGGGUAGAAUUCCACGUGUAGCAGUGAAAUGCGUAGAGAUGUGGAGGAAUACCGAUGGCGAAGGCAGCCCCCUGGGAUAAUACUGACGCUCAUGCACGAAAGCGUGGGGAGCAAAC